CGAUUCAACAGAAUGAUUCGUUCUCGAAUCUGACAUCACUGAACUGAUUGUGCUAGACACCGCUGAACAUAGCAGUGUACGUUGUGUUGACAAGUGUCUUUUUGGAGGAUUUCAACGCCACAUUGUUUUAACCGCCUCAUUUUGUGCUUUGACACUUCCUAGGGAGCACACAAAUAGUCAGUGUUGUUGGCAGCUCUCCAUCUUUAAAAAAUGGUUCAGAAUUACAAACAGACAACUGGAGCCUCUUCCCCAACCAACACUGAGGAACUACUCACACCAGCACAUGAGGAAAAUGUGCGAUUCAUUCAUUACACUUGGCAGCGUGUCAUGAGAGAAAUGCAGACUUGCCAGGGAAAUGAAAACAAUAACCAGGGACCUCAGAAAUAUGUGGAGAGGACGCCAAACCCUGCACUAAACUCUUUUACACCAGUGGACUUGAAUGAUGUGAAAAGGAAAAACACACAAGACCCCAAAAAGUCUUUAUGAAACAAUUGGAUUUAUCCAGCAUACAGACUAAUACAGCAUAAAUCUCUUGCCUAGUGCACUGAUGUUAUUCAGGCCAUUUAUUUGCCGAUCCCUAAUCUUUUUUAAAUGAUCAAAGUUGUUCACUGAUAAUGACUUUGUCCUGUAUUUAAGGACAAAUGUUGCUGCUUUAAAUAUGUUCUUAUAAUCUCCAUUGCAUUUCAUCAAAGUCCCUUUAAGGCAAGUCAUGUCACUCGGCGGCCAUCUUUGAAACGCCUCUCGGGCAUGCA